GAUGAACGCUGGCGGCGUGCCUAAUACAUGCAAGUCGAGCGAACGGACGAGAAGCUUGCUUCUCUGAUGUUAGCGGCGGACGGGUGUGUAACACGUGGAUAACCUACCUAUAAGACUGGGAUAACUUCGGGAAACCGGAGCUAAUACCGGAUGAUAUUUUGAACCGCAUGGUUCAAAAGUGAAAGACGGUCUUGCUGUCACUUAUAGAUGGAUCCGCGCUGCAUUAGCUAGUUGGUAAGGUAACGGCUUACCAAGGCAACGAUGCAUAGCCGACCUGAGAGGGUGAUAGGCCACACUGGAACUGAGACACGGUCCAGACUCCUACGGGAGGCAGCAGUAGGGAAUCUUACGCAAUGGGCGAAAGCCUGACGGAGCAACGCCGCGUGAGUGAUGAAGGUCUUCGGAUCGUAAAACUCUGUUAUUAGGGAAGAACAUAUGUGUAAGUAACUGUGCACAUCUUGACGGUACCUAAUCAGAAAGCCACGGCUAACUACGUG
rnacentral:rRNA from 1 species